GGUUUGGAGCAGCUGGUACUUAUCGAUGCAUACAGCUAACUCAUCAACUCGCUUCUCAGUCUGCUGUCGAUCCUCAGUAACCUACCUCUGCAUCUCCGCCAGUCGAAUAUCACAAGUAGUAUGGAUGUUAGCUCUGGAUGAGCAUGAGGAUGAGGGAGCACUGAUCCCAUGCCCUAGACCCCUAAUAUAACAGGAUCUCAUACCAAGCACUUGAUCACAGAUCUUGUCAUCUGUGGGUGCAGUUGAGCCCUCAGAGAUAGGCUGG
rnacentral:lncRNA from 1 species